GCCAAAGCAGCAUUACUCUUGUUUAUACAUCACUGAAAUGUUCUCAAAUGAUAACUCAGAAUGACAACAUAAUAGAAGCUGAUCAGUCUAGGAGAAACAAAACUUCAACAGCAGUGAAGGCUUUACGGAGCAUGGAUAUUGAUGCUUUUCUUCAUCCAUUUACCCAGGAUAACAGAAAGACGACAUUAAAGAGGCACAACACAAGAUCUACAUUGUGAUGAAAGAAAAAGAAAAAUGAAAUUGCAAUGCUUUAUUGCCUAAAUCCAUUGAAAACGUACAACCUAACUUUGAAAAGAUUAGUAGAAAAACAUUAAUUUAUAUGUCUACACGAUUCAGGUUCACAAUAACAUUAUGUACUAAAUGAAAAAUAUGCUGUUUCAGGAAGAAGCACAUGCAUCAAUUUCAGGGAGCAUAUCAUAGGAUCAAUUUAUGAGUUAGAGAUGAAAGGGGGAUUGAAGCUACAUUUACCUAACAUCUAAGCAUAAAAGAAGAAGGCAAACAGGCAGGGUAAGGUGAAUAAGAAUUUGGAGACAUAACAUUGCAAGACUUCAUUAAAGGCAAUCAAAGUAUCAUUCAUCAAGAAAAAAAAGUGCAAAGUAUUUGUGGUAGGAAGCUGUUAAAAAAAGAUGUAUAACAACUUUAAAAGUAUAAAACCCAGGAUGAUUUUGGACAAGUUUAGUUGCUUUGGAACUUUUUGCAAAUGCAGAACUAAACCAAGCCAAGGCCCCAUUUGAUUCAUGGAAAAUAUUUCCUUGCAUUUUCUAACGUUUGGGGCUAUCAGGAAAAUGGGUCGACAAAAAAUAUUUUCUUCGUUAAAGAGAAAACUAUUUUCCAUUUUCUAGACUUUAAUAAUCUUAUUAAAAUGAAAACACUUGUAUACAUAUUAUAUAAAUACAUACCAUUAGUUAACCUUACAACCAAACAAUGAAAAACAUUUUUCAUAGAAUAUUUUCCACAAAACAAAUGGAGCCUAAACGAUGGAAGAGAAUCCACACAACCCCAUCUAAAUAGGGAUUGAGUUUAGUUAAGUUGCUCGCUCUACACAAUCAAAUUUGUAAUAUAUAAAGAUCACAAUUAAGGCCAA
rnacentral:misc_RNA from 1 species